GUCCCUGCAGUGCAAUGGAUAGCAUGUUGGACUUCUAAACCAAAGGUAGUGCCUUUGAAUUCCACCUGGGAUG